AUUGAACGCUGGCGGCGUGCUUUACACAUGCAAGUCGGACGAGUGGCGAACGGGUGAGUAACGCAUCGGAACGUACCGAGUAAUGGGGGAUAACUGUCCGAAAGGACAGCUAAUACCGCAUAUUAUUCGAGCGGCCGAUGGUGGAUUAGCUGGGUGGCGGGGUAAAGGCCCACCAAGGCGACGAUCAGUAGCGGGUCCGAGAGGAUGAUCCGCCACACUGGGACGGAGACACGGCCCAGACUCCUACGGGAGGCAGCAGUGGGGAAUUGUGGACAAUGGGCGAAAGCCUGAUCGAGCCAUGCCGCGUGACUGAAGAAGGCCUGCGGGUUGUAAAGGACUUUUGUUAGGGAAGCGGUACCUGAAGAAUAAGCACCGGCUAACUACGUGCCAGCAGCCGCGGUAAUUC
rnacentral:rRNA from 1 species